rnacentral:rRNA from 1 species
GACGAACGCUGGCGGCGUGCUUAACACAUGCAAGUCGAACGGAAAGGCCCUGCUUGCAGGGUACUCGAGUGGCGAACGGGUGAGUAACACGUGGGUGAUCUGCCCUGCACUUCGGGAUAAGCCUGGGAAACUGGGUCUAAUACCGGAUAGGAGCCAUUUUUAGUGUGAUGGUUGGAAAGUUUUUUCGGUGUAGGAUGAGCGCGCGGCCUAUCAGCUUGUUGGUGGGGUAAUGGCCUACCAAGGCGGCGACGGGUAGCCGGCCUGAGAGGGUGGACGGCCACCUUUGGGCUUGGAUUCGGCCCCGGCUCCCACGGGGGGCCGCCGUGGGGAAUUUUGCCCCAUGGGGGCAAGCCUGAUGCCGGGACGCCGCGUGGGGGAUGACGGCCUUCGGGUUGUAAACUCCUUUCGCUAGGGACGAAGCUUUUUGUGACGGUACCUAGAUAAGAAGCACCGGCUAACUACGUG